rnacentral:rRNA from 1 species
UUUAGUUGGGCACUCUAAGUGAGACUGCCGGUGACAAACCGGAGGAAAGGUGGGGAUGACGUCAAGUCCUCAUGGCCCUUAUGGGUAGGGCUUCACACGUCAUACAAUGGUCGGUACAGAGGGUUGCCAAGCCGCGAGGUGGAGCCAAUCCCUUAAAGCCGAUCGUAGUCCGGAUCGUAGUCUGCAACUCGACUACGUGAAGUCGGAAUCGCUAGUAAUCGCAGAUCAGCAUGCUGCGGUGAAUACGUUCCCGGGUCUU